rnacentral:rRNA from 1 species
GAUGAACGCUAGCGGCAGGCUUAAUACAUGCAAGUCGUGGGGCAGCAUGAAGUAGCAAUACUUUGAUGGCGACCGGCAAACGGGUGCGGAACACGUACACAACCUUCCUUUUAGUGGGGAAUAGCCCAGAGAAAUUUGGAUUAAUACCCCGUAACAUAGCGAUGUGGCAUCACAUUGCUAUUAUAGCUUCGGCGCUAGAUGAUGGGUGUGCGUAUGAUUAGAUAGUUGGCGAGGUAACGGCUCACCAAGU